UACAGAGGUCUCAAGCGUUGUUCGGAUUCAUUGGGCGUAAAGGGUGUGUAGGUGGCGCGCUAAGUCGGGUGUGAAAUUUUGGAGCUUAACUCCGAAACUGCAUUCGAUACUGGCGUGCUUGAGGACUGGAGAGGAGACUGGAAUUUACGGUGUAGCAGUGAAAUGCGUAGAGAUCGUAAGGAAGACCAGUGGCGAAGGCGGGUCUCUGGACAGUUCCUGACACUGAGGCACGAAGGCCAGGGGAGCAAACGGG
rnacentral:rRNA from 1 species